CGCGGGGCCCUUUGGAAAUAGAAUAGCCAAUGUAAUCUGACACUUCAACUUGCUCGGCUCCGGGCGAGUUGAUUCACUUACUCACCCCCUAACGCCGAGUUCCUUUUCACUGUCUGUGGACAUUAAAAAAGCGAGCGGCGGCGGCGGGCGCCCGGGAAAGCGAACCGCCGAGCAGGCGAGCAGCGAUCGGGCAGCCAAGCGAGCGAGCAGCGCGGGUGCAGCGCGGUGACCCCAGCCCCGGCUAGCGCGGAGCAGGAGCCGGAGCCGGGCCGAUCUCCGCGCCCUCGCUGCGCUCCUCCCGGCCCCAGCCGGCCCUACCAGUGGUGGCGGCGGCGCGUCCUCCAGCGGCGGCAGUGCUGCUCACAGCGCCCGGACUUUGCAGCAACUGUGCUUGGAUAUAGUGGGCCUGGAGCUGCCCCCUCCCUCUCCUGAUACCCAGCAAUCUCAAGUCCUUAUCAGUUGCCAGAAGCCUCUGCAGGUAAGCACGUGGGGCCAGCCCUGCUGGCACACCUGCCGAUGGGGGCCUGUGUGGUGCGGGACCACUGGCAGCAGUCCAUGUGAAUCCAUGGCUUGGAGAGCUAGGAAUAUGAGCAGCUCACUGCUCACCUUCCCCUUCUUCCCUGGACUUCCAAACCAGAUAGCAGAAAACAGAGGUGCCCUGGCAGGGACUUGGACCUUUGGUUUUAAUCUAUUGCCACCUCCCAGUGUAGCCUCGGAGUAUAUCUGUCCUUCCAGGGCUCAGGACCUGGGCUUUCUUGUCUAGUACCUGGGAAUAAUAGUAGCUGUAAUGCCUCUGACCAUAUAAAUAUUAAGUGCAUUGUAAGGAGUGCGCAAGCAGGAAAAGUUAACUUUUCUUCUUCCUUACCCCCCUGGAGGGAGUAGCUGUAACCAUCACCAUUGUAUAGGUGAGAAAACUGAGCCUCAGGGUCUGGAAGUACAUUGCCUGAGGUCACACACCUGGCCCAGCCUGGG
rnacentral:lncRNA from 1 species